rnacentral:rRNA from 1 species
UUGGAGGGCAAGUCUGGUGCCAGCAGCCGCGGUAAUUCCAGCUCCAAUAGCGUAUAUUAAAGUUGUUGCAGUUAAAAAGCUCGUAGUUGAAUUUCGGGAUUGACACAUCGGUCGUGCCUUAAGGGGUAUGAACUGGUGUAGUCAAUUUCUCACCUUCUGGAGAACCGCGAUGCCCUUAAUUGGGUGUCGCGGGGAACCAGGACCUUUACUUUGAAAAAAUUAGAGUGUUUAAAGCAGGCAUUUUGCUUGAAUACAUUAGCAUGGAAUAAUAAAGUAGGACGGCAUGAUUCUAUUUUGUUGGUUUCUAGGAUCACCGUAAUGAUUAAUAGGGAUAGUUGGGGGCAUUAGUAUUCAAUUGUCAGAGGUGAAAUUCUUGGAUUUAUUGAAGACUAACUACUGCGAAAGCAUCUGCCAAGGAUGUUUUCAUUAAUCAAGAACGAAAGUUAGGGGAUCGAAGACGAUCAGAUACCGUCGUAGUCUUAACCAUAAACUAUGCCGACUAGGAAUCAGACGAUGUUAAUUUUUUAAUGACUCGUUUGGCACCUUACGGGAAACCAAAGUGUUUGGGUUC